rnacentral:lncRNA from 1 species
UUAGGGAUUGUUUGGUAGAUAUGGUGUGCUAGAGGAGAGGUUCCCCAAGGGGUAAUGGUCAAGGUGGAGCUGAACAAGCAACUAUACAGCCUUCGGAUGCUGGAGGGUAGAGAAGUAGUCGGGGUGCAUUCAGCAGUUCAACUAGAGCAUGGAUUUGCGGAGCCUUGGGAUGAUGAACAUGGCUGAUCCACAUAGUGUCGCAGUUGGCUCAGAGGA